rnacentral:rRNA from 1 species
GACGAACGCUGGCGGCGUGCUUAACACAUGCAAGUCGAGCGGUAAGGCCCUUUCGGGGGUACACGAGCGGCGAACGGGUGAGUAACACGUGGGUGACCUGCCCUCAGCUCUGGGAUAAGGCCUGGGAAACCGGGGUCUAAUACCGGAUAUGACUCCAUGACGCAUGUUGUGGGGUGGAAAGCCUUGUGCGGCUGAGGAUGGGCCCGCGGCCUAUCAGCUUGUUGGUGGGGUGAUGGCCUACCAAGGCGACGACGGGUAGCCGGCCUGAGAGGCGACCGGCCACACUGGGACUGAGACACGGCCCAGACUCCUACGGGAGGCAGCAGUGGGGAAUCUUGCGCAAUGGGCGAAAGCCNGACGCAGCGACGCCGCGUGAGGGAU